CUACAAGCUCUACUUGGAGCUACAUCAUAUAUAUAUAUAUAUAUAU
rfam:Glycine max cultivar Williams 82 chromosome 14, whole genome shotgun sequence.